rnacentral:rRNA from 1 species
CCCUUUGGCCAUUCCGAAGGGCAUGCCUGUUUGAGUAUCAUGAACACCUCAACUCUCAUGGCUUGCCGUGAUGUGCUUGGACUUUGGGGGUCUUGUUGGCCUGUGGGCCAGCUCCUCUUAAAUGAAUCAGCUUGCCGGUGUCUGGUGGCGUCACAGGUGUGAUAACUAUCUACGCUUGUGGUUUCCCACUAGGGUAACCUUCAGCAAUGAAGGUUCACCGGAGCUUAUAAAUGUCUCUCCUCAGCGAGGACAGAUUUUGACCAUUUGAUCUCAAAUCAGGUAGGACUACCCGCUGAACUUAAGC